AGGUGCAUCAACUAACCAGGGCAGGGUCCGAAACACUGCAUCAAAGAGAUAAGCUCUUAGCAUAAUCAUGAUUCAUUUAGUAUGGGAUUUUCUGUCAAAAGGAUCUCUGGAAUAUCACCACUACCUUGAACUACAUCAGCUUUCUCCAUCUUCUAGUUCCCACAAAAAGCAAGUAUAUGCUGCAAGAACAUUGCUGAAAGCACACAAGUGAUAAGCAUUAGCAUCUUAAUUAUUGUCAAAUGUGUAGCUUGAACUGCUUGCUCAAACAAAGAUGAAGCCUUUUCCUGAUCAUGAUGAAGUUCCCACACAAGCCUAGCAUAUUCCGAUAUCAUUUCACCAUCACUGGGAUCGGCUAAGACUGCACGCGAGUAGAAAUCCUCGGCUGCUUCUGGAUCUUUGGACUGUACAUUUAAUGUGGAGGGUUUCUUAUUUUCUUAAACCAAGAGAAGUUCAAGUAACUAAUCAUAAGUUAUG